CCCACCGGGUGAAAAGAAGAAAUGAGACAGCUCCUGUGCUCUUGGUAGGCCAAACUGGAGCUCCAGGCACUUUGGCUUCCACUUUGGGGGUCUGGCAGCUUUAGUAACAUCAAGCAAAUAGCCCGUGAACUCCAUCGAUUGUUAGCCCCCGAUUUAAACCCAAGGCCAUCUGGUUCUGAAGCCGCUCCCCCCAGGCUGCCUCCAGCAGGACAAGUGGUCAAGGCAGGAAACCAGUGGCCCUUGGUGACAGCCCCACUGCCCAGAGCAACAGACUGUGGUCAGAAUCUGCAGCAACCACAAGAGGCCUGUUCUUCCUUCCCUCUUCCAUGCUGGGAGUGUGGGUUCCUGUCCUCCAGCAGAUAGACCUGGUGAAAUUGCACAUUUGUUGUGCAGAGUUCUUUAAAGCGAGAAAUCACUCAAAGGCCAAAUGAGAUUGCCAACCAGGGGUGUUGUCUGAAAAUAGGGCCUUAGGGUCUUGGCUGCUCUGCUUAUCCUGCAGAGAGGAGGAAGACACAGCUUUGAGACAGAGCAAAUGCACAGAUUUUGGGGGAUCAGAGUCUAUCCCCUCACCCGGCCUUUCUAAUGAUUCAAUUUGGCCUAUUGAAUCUUGUGAGACUCCCUUGAGUUCAUCAAUUUGGUGUCCUUCUUAAUAGGAAAGAAAAAUAGGGAUCACUUUAUGGCUAAAAGACUUGCUCUUUUAAAGCCAGGUCUAGUUAAAGAUGAACAACUCGAAGGGCAUGACUGCUUUCUGGCCCUUAGUGCUACAAUGUCUGAGGUUGUCGGUUGUUUCAGUGGAGGUCAGCGAAGGCCAAACAAAGCAGGGGAGGCCAAGCUGCUCCAAGGAGGAUUUAGAUCUCAAUAUGUUAAAGAGAGCCAUUUCUGUGCUGACCUGCUCUUUGGCCAGCAACUCCUUUUGGUUACAUGGUCUAGAAAAUAUUUUAAAAUGUGAAGACUUGGCAUAGGGAUACCUUUGCAUGCUUCUCCUUGGUCCGCCUCACAGUCACUCUCCCGAGAAGGGUUCCUUAGGAUGUGCCUUCUGCACCUCUGUAACUGGGGUCCAGCACGUCCCUGGCGGUCCUAACAGGCUCAUUAAGCUAACGAGCAAGUGAGUACAGAAAACGACUGCUCUUUUUGGCAGCGCAUCCCACUAUUAGAGCGCAGGCAGAUGGAGCAGACCUGUUUGGUUUUUAAUUCAGUUCCAAGAAAUUGUCCAAGUCCGAGAAGAUGAAGAUGUAAGGGUCCACCCUGGCUUCAGGCUCUGAGGGAAGUGGUCUUCACUCCACUCUGGGAACUGUCUUUUUGAGUGGUCCUUGGCCUCACGGUGGGUCACAGGCCACCAAUGGAGAGGUCUCGGCUGGAUCCUGUUGGCUCAGUGAACCCAAACUUCCAUUCUAGACUUCCCUGGUUGGACUUCCAGGUUCACAGCCUGGUGCUGGAAUCAAGUGCUGCUGGCCUCAGAGACCCGUGGCUGCUUUCCUGACAUGCACACAGUGACACCCCUGUAACUUGCAAGUCAGAUUUAUCAAGAUCAAAAAAAAAAAUCUUGCUCUGCUCAAAUGACCCAGACUCUUGGAGGUGUGAUUCUCUAUACAGUAUAAACUCGGUUACAGUUUUGACUGCAAGGAUGCAAGAGAAAGCAUCUAGACAGUUUCAUGGUGGCCCUGUCCUAUUAACCCCAGCUCCUCAGCUCUUUCCUUAGUCCCCAGCUCUUGUCUUUCCUUUUCAUUACUCUGUCAUGGCACAAGGACAAUUGGGAUGACUGAAGAAGUCUUUGGUUUGCAUACAGGCCGGUGCUCCAUGGCUGCACCAUUUUGCUGCUUUGCCCAUGGAACGAUGGUUUUGAACAAAUCUGUUUUACCACUAGCAAGCUCUGCAGACCCAAGCAUGAUACAGCCCAUUGCUGUACAAUCUUCUGGAUCAUUUAAAAUAAUUCUUUCUGUAUGGUCUCUUUGUUCGUAUGGUUUUCAUGUAAUGGAUUUAUUUUGUCUUUAUUUUAUGCAUGAGUGUUUUGCUUGCUUGCGUGUCUGGGCAGGUGGCUUGUGCCUGGUGUCCACAGAAGAUGGAAGAGGGUGUCAGAUCCCCUAGAACUAGGGCUGUCGACAGUUGAGAAUCAUAAUGUGGGUGCUGGGAUUAGAACCUGGGUCCUCUGGAAGAGAAGCCAAUGCUCUUAACCACUGAGCCAUCUCUCCAGGCCCGACCUAGUGGAUUUUUUAUUCUGGCAUUUCGAAGGUGUUUUUUUUUUUUUUUUUUGUUCUAUUUUAAUAGCCCAGUGGGUUGGGUUGAGCUUUUAAAACCUCACACUGCAGUUAUAUGUAUACCAUUAGAAAUUUCAAACAUGAGCAACAGUGAAGAGAAUAAGUAUGGGGCAGAGAACAAGGAUCAGAACAAGGCUGGUUCACUCAGCUUUGUUGGAACAACCAACAGCAAAGUGAUGGACCAGCAUGCCUGUCAGGCCCCUGAGGGCUGCCUGGAAGGGGUGGAAUUCCUUCAGGACCAGAGUCAGAAGCCAGCCCAAAUGCUCAAUCUUGGUGGUCUUCUGAGCUGGCUGCCCCUGAGUCCCAGGCCGUGUGGAUUCUGUGUUGCCUAUAGUGAGAUCCCAGGGGAGACUGAAGAAGGACCAGGAGGUUAGACCCUGUGGCUGUCUAAGCACCUGGUACCCAAGGAAACAGUCUGAGUUCGGCCCCAUUCAGACAUGAAUAUGGCCCCUGAUUUAGGAUGGUUGACUUCAGUGGGGUUUCACCUUCGAAACUGAUCUUCACUCAGUGGAAGCCAGCCUCAACUUGAGAGCGCUGAUAUUUUUCUGGGUUAACCACAUGUGAUGGGUGGUCCCAUCCUCUCUCAGCAGCCACUGAGAAGCAGUAGCCAGUGCAGUUCCCAGUCAGCUCUAUAUCCAACAUUCUGUACUGCAGGGUGCUGUGUGGCCGCUGUGGUGGGGCACAUGGGAGACGGGAACGGAGUCCAAACACCUUUCUGCCUGUGAUGGACUUGCCGGUGUAUGGCCUGCAGAAUCAGGGAGCCUGUGUACUUUUCAACACAGAGCCAUUAAGGGUGAGAAACCAGGACCCAAUGCAGAAGACUGCCUUCUAUAUCGGCCUGUUUGUCCCUCACGGAGUGCUUAGAACACAGCAGGACCAAGGCACUGUUGCAGAACUAAAGAAUGAAUGAUUGGCUUGCUCUUCAUGGUAACAAAGAGACUUCACUCAGGCCCAGCUGAUCAAUUCAUGAGCUUUCAUGAAACACCCAUUAAUGUGGCCAAGACUUACCACAUCUACCCCGAGGGCAGGCUGGGUUUUUGAAAGAACUAUCUGCGGGUUCUUUUAAUGAAAACCAAACAUCAUAAAUCGUGCCAAGACUCACAAGCGACAGCCCCGGGGAAGAGAGGCUUCCUUUCUAAUUACCUGCAGCGAGUGAGCUAGCAAGGUUGGCUGUGGGUCCAAGUACAGACAGAUGUGUAAGUAGUAUCAGUCAUCGCAACAAACCCCAUGCUGCCACAGUGUGUCUUCCCGUGUUCUGCAAGCCAUGGGGGACAACAGGGAAACCUUCACACCAACCUGCACCCCCAGGGUCUGGUAUGCAACUUUCAGAAGAGUUAAAUAUCAGAUAUUGCUUUGAAUUGUUAUUUCUUUUGCCCCCACUGAGAACAAAACUUGCAUGCCCAAAUUACUUUUGUUUGCACAGCUCUGAAUCUCAUGGAGGACUUUGAUCACACUCCUGACACCGUGUGGAAGGAUGCCUGCCGAUACCAUUAUGCCUGCUUUUCUGGCUGGCACUGUUAUUGAUUCUUGCCAGCAGGAGCUACAGCAGGCUCGGGAUGUUGCUUUAGGAAGCAAAACUUCAUGUGAUGUUUGGUUAUUAAGAACCACUGCUGUGUGGGUCACCUGUGCUGGGCUUGGCUACUUCGUCCCUCUGAAGACAUCACGGGGGAAGAGACACAAAUUCAACACAUAAGUGCCCCUCAAAUGAUCCACUCUACUGUGUGCACUGAAGUGUAUGCCUGAGCCCUUCAUCAUGUCCAUUUACUUGGGACACAGGAUUUGUUUGGUUUAUGGAAACUUCCAGGGGAAGCAGGAGGUUAGGACCGUGCAGCAUAUGAACUCUGGGAGCGCACUGUUCAGUCUGUAGUGGAGGCAUUUGGACACUCGGACUACGGAAGGAGGGACUUACUCUGUCACAUCUCAGCUGUGUGACUUUGAUCAUGUCCUUGGACUAGUCUGGCUUGCGGAAGGUGCUCCUAUUGACCUCAAAGAAGAGAGACAUGGCUUUGUGAUUAGCAAGGUGCUCCGCCCAUGGAAAAAAAAUGCAACAUGCCUUGCAUCAUUUUUGAAUGUGAACUUAGAUGACAGCAAUGUGGAAAUGGGGUGAAAUCACCAGAAAAACAGAUUUGUUGCUGCAAUAACAUUUCUUUCAAGAAAACCUGGUCCCUAGAGGUGGGCCUGGUUGCUGACAUUUGAAUACCUCCACAUUUCCAAGGAACAGAGUUCUUUUUCCCUGCGUGACUAGAAGCUUAAAACAUUACCCUCUAAUGAACACCAGAUGGUAGAUCUGGAAUGCCUGGCCUGCAAGCCUGGCCUGGAUGCCCCUUAGCUUGCUUCACUUAUACAGUACCUGGGCCAACAACUCAGCAGACUGAACAGGAGAGAGAAGCCUAGGGUUUAACCACCCUAUAUCACAAAGUACCUGUGGCUGCCAGGCGAUGCCAAUGACAUUCUCAGCCUGUGAUGUCACAGACAAAUCUUUUAGCAGAAAUGGUUGAUGGGCCACUGAGAAGCCAAUGCUUUGGCCUGCACUGUGUCCAUUCCCUUACUUGUUUCACAUCCUGCUUUCUAGAAAUAUCUAAAGAUGUCAUAUCCCUAUUUUUUACUUUUUCCUGUGGA